UGAAUACGAGAUGCUACGGCAUCGAAGCAGUCUAUGUCAUACUUCCAAGAAAAGCUUGCACUGUCAUAAACAAAUAAUGCCUGUACCAUAACCGACACAGGUGGGUAGGUAGAGUAUACUAAGGGGCGCGAGAUAACUCUCUCUAAGGAACUCGGCAAAAUGACUCCGUAACUUCGGGAGAAGGAGUGCCUUAUUUUAUAAGGUUGCAAUAACAAGAUCCAAGCAACUGUUUACCAAAAACACAGGUCUCCGCUAAGUCGUAAGACGAUGUAUGGGGGCUGACGCCUGCCCAGUGCCAGAAGGUUAAAGAAGUUGGUUAGCAUUAGCGAAGCUGAUAACUGAAGCCCUGGUGAACGGCGGCCGUAACUAUAACGGUCCUAAGGUAGCGAAAUUCCUUGUCGGGUAAGUUCCGACCCGCACGAAAGGCGUAAUGAUUUGGAUACUGUCUCGGAGAGGGGCUCGGUGAAAUAGACUUGUCUGUGAAGAUGCGGACUACCUGCACCAGGACAGAAAGACCCUAUGAAGCUUUACUGUAACUUGAGAUUGAAAUUGGACUUUAUUUGCGCAGUAUAGGUGGGAGACGUUGAAAAUAUUCUUGCGGGAAUAUUGGAGUCAUCAGUGAGAUACCACUCUUAUAAUGUUAGAUUUCUAACUUUGUAUCAUUAUCUGGUCAAAGAACAGUCUCAGGCGGGCAGUUUGACUGGGGCGGUCGCCUCCCAAACGGUAACGGAGGCGCACAAAGGUUUCCUCUGAACGUGUAGAAAUCGUAUCUAGAGUGUAAAGGCAUAAGGAAGCUUGACUGUGAGACCUACAAGUCGAGCAGGGACGAAAGUCGGUCUUAGUGAUCUGACGGUGCUGAGUGGAAAGGCCGUCACUCAACGGAUAAAAGUUACUCUAGGAUAACAGGCUGAUCUCCCCCAAGAGUUCACAUCGACGGGGAGGUUUGGCACCUCGAUGUCGGCUCAUCGCAUCCUGGGGCGGUAGUACGUCCCAAGGGUUGGGCUGUUCGCCCAUGAAAGCGGUACGCGAGCUGGGUUCAGAACGUCGUGAGACAGUUCGGUCCAUAUCCGGUGUAGGCGUUAGAAUAUUGAGAGGAGCCUUCUUUAGUACGAGAGGACCGAGAAGGACAUACCUCUGGUGUACCAGUUAUCGUGCCAACGGUAGACGCUGGGUAGCUAUGUAUGGAGAGGAUAACCGCUGAAAGCAUCUAAGUGGGAAGCCCACCUCAAGAUAAGUAUUCUC
rnacentral:rRNA from 1 species